rnacentral:rRNA from 1 species
CAGGGAUUGCCCUAGUAACGGCGAGUGAAGCGGCAACAGCUCAAAUUUGAAAUCUGGCUCUCGGGCCCGAGUUGUAAUUUGCAGAGGAUGCUUUUGGUGAGGUGCCUUCCGAGUUCCCUGGAACGGGACGCCAUAGAGGGUGAGAGCCCCGUCUGGUUGGAAACCGAGCCUCUGUAAAGCUCCUUCGACGAGUCGAGUAGUUUGGGAAUGCUGCUCUAAAUGGGAGGUAUAUGUCUUCUAAAGCUAAAUACCGGCCAGAGACCGAUAGCGCACAAGUAGAGUGAUCGAAAGAUGAAAAGCACUUUGAAAAGAGAGUUAAAAAGUACGUGAAAUUGUUGAAAGGGAAGCGUUUAUGACCAGACUUGGGCUUGGUCAAUCAUCCAGGGUUCUCCCUGGUGCACUUUUCCAGCCCAGGCCAGCAUCAGUUUUCCCCGGGGGACAAAGGUUUCGGGAAUGUGGCUCACCUCGGUGAGUGUUAUAGCCCGUUGCGCAAUACCCUGGGGGGGACUGAGGUUCGCGCAUCUGCAAGGAUGCUGGCGUAAUGGUCAUCAAUGACCCGUCUUGAAACACGGACCAAGGAGUCGUCUUCGUAUGCGAGUGUUCGGGUGUCAAACCCCUACGCGUAAUGAAAGUGAACGCAGGUGAGAGCUUCGGCGCAUCAUCGACCGAUCCUGAUGUUCUCGGAUGGAUUUGAGUAAGAGCAUACGGGGCCGGACCCGAAAGAAGGUGAACUAUGCCUGUAUAGGGUGAAGCCAGAGGAAACUCUGGUGGAGGCUCGCAGCGGUUCUGACGUGCAAAUCGAUCGUCAAAUAUGGGCAUGGGGGCGAAAGACUAAUCGAACCUUCUAGUAGCUGGUUUCCGC